ensembl:snRNA U2 U2 spliceosomal RNA
AUUGCUCCUUGGUCUUUUGGCUGAGAUGAAGUGCAGUAUCUGUUUUUGUCAGCUUAAUAUUUGAUAUGUUCUAUAUCUAAGGACAGUAUAUUAGAUGGAUUUCUGGAGGUGUGCAGUAGAGUAGGAGCUUGCCCUGUCUCCUCAAAGCAUUAAGUGGUUAUUGUAGUACUUCCAGGAACGAUCCCUCA